rnacentral:rRNA from 1 species
AACGACCGCUGGCGGCAGGCCUAACACAUGCAAGUCGAGCGAGGACUUCGGUCCUAGCGGCGGACGGGUGAGUAACGCGUGGGAACGUGCCCUUUGCUACGGAAUAGCCCCGGGAAACUGGGAGUAAUACCGUAUGUGCCCGAGAGGGGAAAGAUUUAUCGGAAAAGGAUCGGCCCGCGUUGGAUUAGGUAGUUGGGGGGGUAAUGGCCUACCAAGCCAACGAUCCAUAGCUGGUUUGAGAGGAUGAUCAGCCACACUGGGACUGAGACACGGCCCAGACUCCUACGGGAGGCAGCAGUGGGGAAUCUUAGACAAUGGGGGAAACCCUGAUCUAGCCAUGCCGCGUGAGCGAUGAAGGCCUUAGGGUUGUAAAGCUCUUUCAGUGGGGAAGAUAAUGACGGUACCCACAGAAGAAGCCCCGGCUAAUUCCGUGCCAGCCGCCGCAGUAA